AAGCGGGCAUAGAAGGGCCAACUUCCGGGUUUGUUUUAACCUCUCCGUUGAAUAGCGCCCGGUGCAUCUUUCUCAGCCAUCCAGCUGCACUUCCUGCCAUUCAUGAAUGUUCCCCUUGUCAUGGCCGGAAUCACUGGGUUGCGCUCCUUACCCAAGAUUCCACUUGGUUUGGCUCCCCGUCCUUCCUGGCCUUCAGUGGUGGCCGAAACAUUGUGCAGAAGUGCUGUGAAAGAAAGAGAAGAGCAUUUCCUCUGAAGUCUUGACCCCUUCCUUCUCUGCAGAGAUAUACUGCUCCUGCCUUUCACUUCUUACCCAAGACUGAAGAGAGCUUUCCGAAGAGGUCUUCAACUGGCCCAGAGCACUAGUGAAGAUAGCCAUGAUAAAGGGUCACACCUCCUUGUCAAAUGUAUGUAGCCAUGAUAAAGGGUCACACCUCCUUGUCAAAUGUAUGUAUUUCUAAAGGACAUAAAGAAGGCUACACAUCUGCCAGCAGAAGAUCUUUUGUUUUUUCCCCACGGAUUUGCAUGGUUUCAACUCUGGUGCUAACCAGAUUCAUUGGGGGAGCCAACAUGUGUAGGGUGAAGGCAGUGGCAGCCUUUCCCUUCAAUCCCCAGCAGCUGGGGAUUCAGGAGUCCACUACAGUGUUCCCUCACUUAUCGCGAGGGUUAUGUUCCAGGACCACCCACGAAAAGUGAAAAUCCGCAAAGGAGGGACACUAUAUUUGUGUUGUUUACAAUCUCACUGGCAAGUAAGAUUGACAUCCGGCAGGCUCCAUCCCUUUUGAGUUUUAGAAAGAAAGUGAAGACCUGGCUAUGUGAGCAAGCAUUCAAAGAAUAGGUUUCGUUGGCUUUGACUCGGUCUGGACAAUGUUUUGUGGAUGAAUGGCUUAAGUAUUUUGUAUUAUUUUAAAUCUAUAUUUAAUUGCUUUUUGUAUUGUUGUGUAUUGGCAUUGAAUUCUGCCAGUUUUGUAAGCCGCCCUGAGUCCCUUCGGGUGAAAAGAGCGGGAUAGAAAUAAUGGGAAUAAAUAAAUAAAUAGCA